AACGAACGCUGGCGGCGUGCCUAACACAUGCAAGUCGAGCGCGAAAAGGGCAACCUGAGUAGAGCGGCGCACGGGUGCGUAACACGUGGGUAAUCUGCCUUAGAGUCGAGGAUAACCUUCCGAAAGGUUGGCUAAUACUCGGUAAGCUUACGGUGUCUUCGGACGCUGUGGGAAAAGUAGGCCUCUGUUUACAAGCUUACGCUCUGAGAUGAGCCCGCGGCCCAUCAGCUAGUUGGCGGUGUAACGGACCACCAAGGCAACGACGGGUAGCUGGUCUGAGUGGACGAUCAGCCACACUGGAGCUGAGACACGGUCCAGACUCCUACGGGAGGCAGCAGUGGGGAAUUUUCCACAAUGGGCGAAAGCCUGAUGGAGCAACGCCGCGUGUGUGAUGAAGGUUUUCGGAUCGUAAAGCACUUUCGACUGGGACGAAAAACCUUUGGCUAACAUCCAGGGGCCUGACGGUACCAGGAGAAGAAGCACCGGCUAACUCUGUGCCAGCCGCCGCAGUAACAC
rnacentral:rRNA from 1 species